rnacentral:rRNA from 1 species
CCUACGGGUGGCAGCAGUGGGGAAUAUUGGACAAUGGGGGGAACCCUGAUCCAGCGACGCCGCGUGAGUGAAGAAGUCUUUCGGUAUGUAAAGCUCUAUCAGCAGGGAAGAAAGAAAUGACGGUACCUGACUAAGAAGCCCUGGCUAACUACGUGCCAGCAGCCGCGGUAAUACGUAGGGGGCAAGCGUUAUCCGGAUUUACUGGGUGUAAAGGGGGCGUAGACGGCGAUGCAAGCCUGAAGUGAAAGGCGGGGGCCCAACCCCCGGACUGCUUUGGAAACUGUCUGGCUGGAGUGCGGGAGAGGUAAGUGGAAUUCCUGGUGUAGCGGUGAAAUGCGUAGAUAUUAGGAGGAACACCAGUGGCGAAGGCGGCUUACUGGACUGUAACUGACGUUGAGGCUCGAAAGCGUGGGGAGCGAACAGGAUUAGAUACCCCGGUAGUC